rnacentral:misc_RNA from 1 species
AAGUCGUAACAAGGUCUCCGUAGGUGAACCUGCGGAGGGAUCAUUAACACAAAAAGUUAAAAAGGGCUAACACUCUUUUUAAUCUUUUUUUCCAACCAAUUCUACGUGAAUUUAUUUAACCAUAUAACAUUUCAAUUUUAUUAGUAAUAAUAAAAUUGAUUUGUUUUUUCCCAUUUUUUUUUUAAACGCUUUUCACUACUGUUUUUAUUUAUUAAGAAUGGAAUUGUACUAUAUAGAAAUAUAUAGUCCAUUUUUUUAAACAAAACUAAAAGCACAAUUCUUAGCAACGGAUAUCUUGGUUCUC